AUACAUGAAGGAGUUGUUUCAUGAUAUCAAUGAAAUAAUGUCACAAUGUAGAAUGUUUUAACAUUGUAGUAGGAGUAUUUUAAUUAUGUUCUACCUUAUCGUUUGCCCUGUUCAAUUGAUUGCAGCAUGAUAUGGAUAUUAGCCUCAGGGGAAAAUCCAGGCUCUGACUUGAAAGAGUAUUAUUUAAC